GACGUAGGGCGCGAGCGUUGUCCGGAUUUAUUGGGCGUAAAGAGCUCGUAGGCGGUUUGUCGCGUCGACUGUGAAAACUGGGGGCUUAACUCUCAGCUUGCAGUUGAUACGGGCAGACUUGAGUUCGGUAGGGGAGACUGGAAUUCCUGGUGUAGCGGUGAAAUGCGCAGAUAUCAGGAGGAACACCGGUGGCGAAGGCGGGUCUCUGGGCAGUAACUGACGCUGAGGAGCGAAAGCGUGGGGAGCGAACAGG
rnacentral:rRNA from 1 species